UCCCUCGGAGGAUUUGGACCUUCUCUCUUCACUUCCUCCCCUCCCGUCUCCCAUCCCGUUGCUAUUCGCCACCCCUCUCCUAUCUUUUAAUCAUCAUCGUCAUAGCAAUCUUAACCCUCGCCGAUUCCGCCUCUCUACGACCUUCUCUUCCUCCUUGUUCUUCACUCAGGCUCCGCUCCGAAAAAAUUCUGCUUGCCUUUGAGCUCCCGAUCCGGUCAUUGGCGGCGUCUCCUCCCCCCUCUCGAUGCUUCGUCGGAAUUGAGAUGAUGGGGCCGGAAUCAUCCGGAGGGAUUCGCCGCCCGGUGAUCUCGACUUGCGGAAUAGCUGACCUGAUCCAAGAUCUCGGCGACGCUUCCGCUUGGUAAAUUUAGGCCGGUGGUGCCGCUGAUGGUGGUGGUGUGGUGGGGCUGAUCGGUCAGGGGCUAUGGCGGACGUUGAUGCCAGCAAUGUUGUGGUGGAUGGAACUCGUGAUGAGCUUCCCGUUUCUACCUCGUCAUGGAAUCCCCUAGGAAGAGCUUUCCGGCCAUAUGUUUCUUUUUCGCCUUCCACGGUCAACUCACCAGAAUCCAGCAGCACCAUCGCUCCCCUUCGGGUGAUCGUCAAGAAACCUCUGGUGGCAAGACUGACCAAAGGCAUAGUUGAAACUUACCAAAUUUGUAAUCCCUCAUUUAAAUAUUCAGAGGCAUUGAAUCCAAAGCGCUUCCUAACGAAUCCAUCAAUUGGGGUGCUGAAUGAUGGCUAUGAUAAUGCAAAUUCAGAUCUCAUCUUGCAUGUGAAUUUAGAGUUGGUCAAUUUAGAAAGAAAGCGAAGGUACACUGUCAAAGAUAUCCUUGGCCAAGGGACCUUUGGACAGGUUGCCAAAUGCUGGGAUUUGGAGACUAACUGUUAUGUUGCUGUGAAGAUAAUUAAGAAUCAGCUUGCUUAUUAUCGGCAGGCAGUUGUUGAGGUCUCUAUUCUGCACAUGUUGAAUCAGAAGUUUGAUCCUGAUGCUGCUAAACAUCACAUUGUUCGUAUCCUUGAUUAUUUUGUAUUUCAGCGACAUUUGUGCAUAUCAUUUGAAAUGCUUGGCUCUAACCUGUAUGAGCUAAUUAAAAUGAACCACUUCAAAGGUUUUUCAUUGAGCAUUGUGCAGAUGUUCUCAAAACAGAUUUUGCAUGCAUUGAUUGUCAUGAAAGAUGCUGGUAUAAUACAUUGUGAUAUGAAGCCAGAAAACAUACUAAUAUCUACAAGUGUGAAGCCAACAGAAAUAAAAGUUAUUGAUUUUGGAUCAGCUUGUAUGGAGGGUCGGACAGUGUACUCGUACAUUCAGAGCCGUUAUUACAGAUCUCCAGAAGUUGUACUUGGUUAUCCAUACACAUCUUCAAUUGAUAUGUGGUCACUCGGAUGUAUUGUUGCUGAAUUAUUUCUAGGGUUGCCUUUAUUUCCUGGAGCCUCAGAGUAUGAUCUUCUCAAGCGGAUGAUACAGAUACUAGGUGGGCAACCAUCUGAUAAUUUGCUUAGGGAUUCAAAAAAUACUAUCAAGUUUUUUAAGCAUGUUGGAAGUAUUUAUCGUUUGGAGAAUGAUGAGACGUCCAAGGAACUUACUAGUGCCUACCGAGUUCUAACUGAGGAUGAAUAUGAAGCAAGAGAGUCAAAAAGGCCUUCAAUAGGGAAAAACUACUUUAAUCAUGUAAAGCUGGAAGAUAUCAUUGCCAACUAUCCUUACAGAAAGAAUUUGCCAGAGGAAGAAAUCUCAAAAGAAAGUUUGACCCGCUUGGCCUUGGUUGAUUUCUUGAGGGGCCUUGUCGAGUUUGAUCCAGGAAAACGAUGGUCACCUUUACAGGCUUCGGGUCAUCCAUUUGUCACUGGAGAACCAUUCAGAUGUCCUUAUCAACCGUCCCCUGAGACUCCAAGAAUUCCUGUCAUUCAUACUGUAACGGUGGAUCACAAUCCAGGCGGUGGUCAUUGGCUAGCUGCUGGUCUUUCUCCUCAGGUUUCAACUGUUAACAACUAUUUAUCACUCAGUAGCCCUCACUUUCAGAAGGUUCCUAUGUCUUAUGGCAGUAGCUAUGGCAGCUUGGGAAGCGAUGGUAGCUAUAAUGAUAGUACAGGUUUUGGGAGCAGUUACGGAAGCUACAAUGAUAUUAACAGUAUGCAUGCCUAUAAUUCACCAGCAGGUCCAUGUGGGUUCAACAUUCAUGUACAAGUUGGAGGACAAUUUCUUGGAUCUAGUCCAGAUGCUAGAUAUAGAUCUCAGCUGUCUCAUGGAACUGGGUUUGGUGUUAGUCCUUUUGGAGGUGUGGGACCAAUGUCUCUCGGAGCCAGUCCGUCACAAUUUACUCCUCCAAGCUCCCAGAUGCAUUUUUCUUCUGCUUCUCCUGGAAAGCAUGGUCCAACUUCUCCUGUAAGGGGCAGUGGUCGUGGUAUCUUGUUGGGUAAAGCAGCUGCCAUUGGUCAGUACAAUAAAAGUUGGGGCUACCCAACAAUGUGCAUGCAGCCUUACGGAAGUGCAUCUGAGCGUGGAUCAGGAUUUUGUGCUAAUGGCAUGAGUUGUAUCCACUCUGAUGCUCAGUUUCAAGGGCAUGGUGCUCAUUCUGUGAUUUCAUCUUCCAGUCAUUCUAACUGGAAGCAACAGAUGGGUGUAGGGAAUGUCUUGUCUCUAAGCCUUACUUCAGCCAAUCAGAAGAGUUAUCCAGCACAGAGUGUGCAUAAUUCCUGUGUGGUCUGCGCACACAGCUUGGAAGUUCCAUGUGAUAAACCAGAAGGCAGUUCAUCACUGCCUGAUCCUGCAGACUGGGACCCCAAUUAUAGUGAUGAAUCUCUUUUGCAAGAGGAUAAUGCAGAAUUCAACUCCCUAAAUUCAGAAUUUACUAGUUGUGUAUGUCUUGGUAAACCAUCAGAUGCUUCCACCCUAACAACUAAAAUUGGCCGAUAUGGCCAUGGUCAUAACCAAGCUAAUCCAAGCUCAAAGUUUCUCUCAUCAAAUCAAAGAACAGAUGGUCUUCAUCAGGCAUAUUCGCUUACUGAGAGUAGUCCUACUUCCCAUGAUGUACGUGCUGGAAAUGCCCGUCCAACCCAAUUCUUGCAAAACUUCCCAAGCCGUUUUGGACAACAAUCUGUUCAUCGGUACAAUUAUGUGAACUCAAAUAUUAUGCAAGGUGAAAGAUAUAAUCAAUAUGGCCAGCCAGUGCAUUCAAAUAACAACAGAACAGAUUCUCACUCAUCUACCAAUGCUAUGUUUAGCAAUAGUAUGCCAUGGGGCUGGGAUGUGGGGCAACUCACCUUGAUACUGUGUUGCUGGAAAUAUGCUUCCCAUGUGCCUGUUGAUGUUAUAUCAAUGCGAUCUGGUUUUGUUUUGUUCGGGUGGCACUUAAAGAAUAUUACUAGAAAUGGGGUUUACAUAUGUAGAUAUUACAGAUGACUAGUAAACAGCCGUUGUUGAUGUCAUUUUUGUUACCCCUUUUGUAUGACGAAGAGUUGGACAUUCGAUGACAACAACCUUACCAAUGCCCCGUUCGAGAAAGGACUAUGGGAAGAUAUAAGGCUGACAACAGGAUUGUGUGACAGGUACGAGAGAAGUGUUGACAAGAGAUUAGGAGUGUGAUCUGCUGUCCAAACGAUGAGGCGACUUCCUAAAGCCGAGAAGCAACUCGGUGAGCCAAAGAGUUGGGAAACCAUACAUGACAGUGACCUGUGUCAGUAUGAACCAUAGGGCCUAAUAGCAGUUGCUGCUGCUGCUGGUUUGUUGCCCUGGGUUAAAGACGGCCAUUACCAUGGUGAGAAAAGGUAAGACGAAAAAAAAACACCCUUAUAAUCAUUGUUAUUGGAUGAUAUGCCUCUAUUGAGAAUUUUUUGGGUUUUUUUAUAUAAAAUUCAGUUUUGUCCUCUUAAUUUUUGUAAAUGUUUUUUCUUUUCCAAACUUUCUUAAAUCAGCUGGAGUCAAUGAAUAAGAUUCAGAAUUUCUUAAACUCAUUCUUCAUUUGGGUUGCUUCCUUCGUCCUCAUGGUAAUUGUCUCUCCAUCUGAGUCUCUCAUCCUCCAACAUCCCUUUUUUCAAACAGUUUUCCUCAACUUUCCCUUUGUCCAAACCUUGUCUUGCCAUUGUCUCAUACACUUCAGUUUGCCCUCCCUCCAUCACUCAGGAUCAUAUCUUCAAUUACAUCAUUGGCCUUGACAUAUCGUUUCGAAAUUAGUUGGUUUUGUCGUAACUUAGUUGGUUUUGCUUAGGAUGUGUAGUAUCCUUGCAUGUCUAUUCAUAAAAUUGUAACCUCAUAAGAUCCCCACCUAAAGAUCUAUAAAAAAAAAUUGUAUUAGUAGAAAUAUUUAUACGAAUAUUUAAGCAAACAUCUAAUAGACAAUGUAAAAUAUAAUGAUAGAUAUUGUAAUCUUUAAACAAUUAUACAACAAGUAUUCAUAUGACACCAUUGUGAAAUCGAGUGAUGGUCAAACUUGGAAAUUAAGUGAUAGAUCAGCUUAAGACACUGCUCGUGAGGCCUAUCUAGUCAUGUGUCACCCGUAUAAUUCUAGGGUAUUGAGAUGGUUGAUGUUUUUGAUAGUUUUUUACUCAUAAAAAAUAUUAUAAACUAUAGGUUAGAGGUUUUGUAUUUGGCAAUUUUGCAUCCACAUAACGAUUGCACACAUAUUAUGUUUAUAAGUUAGAAAUAACCAUAAAAUCCAAUCAAAAUAAGGUUAUCAAUCCUAUUACACAAGCUCAUUACAUGGCUGAGGCAUCAACAAAUUGAAAAACAUAAACAUUAUGUUGAACACUUUCUCUAUAAAUUAUUUAUAACAUUAUCCCGCUCUUAUUCUUUUGAUGUUUUUGUUGAAGACUUUGUAGACAUUGCAUAUCUUUACCUUUAUGGAUGUUGAAUCUCUUCGCCUUUGUUGUAUCUUCGAUUGUAAACAUUAUCCAUCACUUAUUCUUUCAAUGUCUUUGUCGAAGACUUCAUAGACAUUGUAUAUCCUUACCUUUAUGGUAGUUGAAUCUUUUAGCCUUA